rnacentral:rRNA from 1 species
AGAGUUUGAUCAUGGCUCAGAUUGAACGCUGGCGGCAUGCCUUACACAUGCAAGUCGAACGGCAGCACGAGAGCUUGCUCUUGGUGGCGAGUGGCGAACGGGUGAGUAAUAUAUCGGAACGUACCCUAGAGUGGGGGAUAACGUAGCGAAAGUUACGCUAAUACCGCAUACGAUCUACGGAUGAAAGUGGGGGAUCGCAAGACCUCAUGCUCAUGGAGCGGCCGAUAUCUGAUUAGCUAGUUGGUGGGGUAAAAGCUCACCAAGGCGACGAUCAGUAGCUGGUCUGAGAGGACGACCAGCCACACUGGAACUGAGACACGGUCCAGACUCCUACGGGAGGCAGCAGUGGGGAAUUUUGGACAAUGGGCGCAAGCCUGAUCCAGCAAUGCCGCGUGAGUGAAGAAGGCCUUCGGGUUGUAAAGCUCUUUUGUCAGGGAAGAAACGGUGGACUCUAAUACAGAUCACUAAUGACGGUACCUGAAGAAUAAGCACCGGCUAACUACGUGCCAGCAGCCGCGGUAAUACGUAGGGUGCAAGCGUUAAUCGGAAUUACUGGGCGUAAAGCGUGCGCAGGCGGUUGUGCAAGACAGAUGUGAAAUCCCCGGGCUCAACCUGGGAAUUGCAUUUGUGACUGCACGGCUAGAGUGUGUCAGAGGGGGGUAGAAUUCCACGUGUAGCAGUGAAAUGCGUAGAGAUGUGGAGGAAUACCGAUGGCGAAGGCAGCCCCCUGGGAUAACACUGACGCUCAUGCACGAAAGCGUGGGGAGCAAACAGGAUUAGAUACCCUGGUAGUCCACGCCCUAAACGAUGUCUACUAGUUGUCGGGUCUUAAUUGACUUGGUAACGCAGCUAACGCGUGAAGUAGGCCGCCUGGGGAGUACGGUCGCAAGAUUAAAACUCAAAGGAAUUGACGGGGACCCGCACAAGCGGUGGAUGAUGUGGAUUAAUUCGAUGCAACGCGAAAAACCUUACCUACCCUUGACAUGUCUGGAAUCCUUGAGAGAUCAGGGAGUGCUCGAAAGAGAAUCAGAACACAGGUGCUGCAUGGCUGUCGUCAGCUCGUGUCGUGAGAUGUUGGGUUAAGUCCCGCAACGAGCGCAACCCUUGUCAUUAGUUGCUACGAAAGGGCACUCUAAUGAGACUGCCGGUGACAAACCGGAGGAAGGUGGGGAUGACGUCAAGUCCUCAUGGCCCUUAUGGGUAGGGCUUCACACGUCAUACAAUGGUACAUACAGAGGGCCGCCAACCCGCGAGGGGGAGCUAAUCCCAGAAAGUGUAUCGUAGUCCGGAUUGUAGUCUGCAACUCGACUACAUGAAGUUGGAAUCGCUAGUAAUCGCGGAUCAGCAUGUCGCGGUGAAUACGUUCCCGGGUCUUGUACACACCGCCCGUCACACCAUGGGAGCGGGUUUCACCAGAAGUGGGUAGCCUAACCGCAAGGAGGGCGCUCACCACGGUGGGAUUCGUGACUGGGGUGAAGUCGUAACAAGGUA